UACAAAAACCUCAGAAUAUAAACCUGAGACAGAAAUCCUCUCAUAUGCAGAGAAAAUAAAGACAGAACAUCUCCAGCAUUUGCAGAACAUGAGGUUUUUGUUAUAGGACUCAGUGAAGAUGUAGCACUGUGAUGGAGUUUUUGACUACUGGGGAGAUGGAACCACAGUCACUGUUCGUCCAGAUGGUCCCUCUCAGACUCCGUCCCUGUUCGUCCUCAGUCCUCUGUCGAAUCCUGACUCCCCCCUGAAGUCAGCAGAUGAUCUCGGUCCAAACGUCUGUCUGGCCACAGGUUUCCGUCCAAAGGGGGAAGAGGUGGUUCUGAAACAAAAAGGGGGUCCGGUCAACGUGAGCACUGAUGAUGCAGUUCUGUCAAAGGACGGGACCUACAACUAUGCUGUAUUCAGUAAUGAAACCAUUUACUCCUGUGGGAUGAACGGGACCUUCGGCAACAAUGAAGCUGAUGAUGAAUGUGGCAGCAUUUAUCCAGAAAAAGCCAAGCUGAACUUCUACCUGCUGCUGAUGAACGGAGUCCGAGUGGUGUUCACCAAAGCUCUGGCCUUCAGCACCGUCCUCACCAUCAGAGGCCUGAUCUUCUGAGAAAAAAAUUAUAUACCACACAAACUUCAAGUCAAUAAGAUUUAAAGUUUGAAACUUUGCUGUCAGAUUUUUCCUCCUAAUUGUGUAAAUCUGAAGAGUGACAUAUUUAUCACUGAAAGCAUUUAGUCAAGUUUAUUUUUAGCCAAGUUUAAAAAGGCAGUUCAAUGUGCUUUGCAUCAUGAAAACAUAAUACAGAAACCGAUUAUGAAAUAAGCAGUGAACAUUACAUGAUGGCAAAUGGUGUCAUCAAAAUCAUUAAGCAAAAAUACAUUAUAAGACAAUUGAACAAAAAACUCUCCCUAAAACCUUCUGUCAAUUAAAUAUACAUUUGUAUUCAGGCAGCUCUCGUCUCAAAUGAAAUGUGCUUAGAUCUUGUUGCAAUCCAUGAAAGAUUUGCAGAUUUAAAAUGUUGCAUGAAAACAUUUUCUAAGAAGUUUUAAAAUAUGCUUUGUAUUUUAUGCUUUAAAGCCUGGAAGUAUCUUAUUAAUUUCUAUUAAAUUGUCAAGUUAUGUUAUUUCAUUAAAUAUGUUCCUGUUUUUUG